AAGACGGACGUGCGCUCCGCGCGCUCGCUCAGUUUCUGGCUGCCUCUCGUAGAGAGCAGACGUAUGUUCUCCGCGCUCGCUCAGUUUCUGCCUGGAAGUUGCCGCGGGGGGAAAAGAGCUAUGAUGGUGGCGCCAUCUGGUGUGAUGCCUUGCAACUAAGUGGCCACCUGUCGUCGAUCUCUGCAACUACCAGUCGUCAACAAGCAACAUGGCGGGCGCUGGUCACUCGGGUGUUGCGGAGCGGGUUCUUCGCCACGGCAUCGUUGAUUUUCGAAUAAAUUGUUUCUCUCCA